rnacentral:rRNA from 1 species
UACGUAGGGUGCAAGCGUUAAUCGGAAUUACUGGGCGUAAAGCGUGCGCAGGCGGUGAUGUAAGACAGUUGUGAAAUCCCCGGGCUUAACCUGGGAAUGGCAUUUGGGACUGCAAGGCUCGAGUGCGGCAGAGGAGACUGGAAUUCCUGGUGUAGCAGUGAAAUGCGUAGAUAUCAGGAGGAAUACCGAUGGCGAAGGCAGGUCUCUGGGCUGACACUGACGCUCAUGCACGAAAGCGUGGGGAGCAAACAGG